GUUCUGGAUGUCUGCCUGUUGCUUUACAGCAAGAGCGCUGAGUGAAACGACAGAGACAGCCUUAGCUUUUGUGUCAUUCAUGUUGCAGGAUACAAAGGCAAGGGUGAAAGUGCAAGUUUCACUGCUGCAGGAAUGACUACAGCACAGGAGAAAUGAGCUAAUGCAUAGGGCCUGAUUAGAAAUGACACCAUGGACUUAGUGGGCUUUUCUACAUAAAUGAAGGAACAACUAGCAACCUGGAGUGUAUUAUACAGCACAGCAAGCCCGCAAGUUGUCAGACACGUCUUUCGAAGAGAUGAAGUGGAUUGCUAUUCUGUGACUGACAAGCAUGCAAGAAGCUCAAAUGCAGCCUUGACAUGAGGAUAUAAGAAAGAUCACCUUUCCCCAAACCCUGAUCACUGACAUAAAUAUUGGGAUGAAGAGGCCAAAAUGGGGAAAUUGCUGCAGCACAAAGUUACAUGAAGGACAUGAGAUUAGGAGCACCUUCUGAGCAUGCAGUUUGAGGGGGCCAGACCCUGGUACAUGAUUGGCUGGAGGGGGGUUGGAUGGGGCACCCUGCCAGGGGCAGAAAUGGUGUUUCCCCUGGUGUAAUUUUAGUGUAUUGAGUGUGAAUAAUGAGUGAUGAUUAAUCAGAGGCUGCCAGUGUGAGCACAGCCUCUACUCAACUGGAGACCAGGGAUACUGCACACACGCCCUGCGCUAAGGGUGGCACAAGGCUACAUAACAUACUGCAUAUAGAGGAGCACUGUAAGGAAAAAAAAAAUUACUCAGCUGAUAUUAAUAAAGUAUUUUCAGUGAAUAAUACUGCUAAUACAUAAAAUAUUCAAUUCAUAUUCAGGAUGUUCAUAGAUAAGUACUAUGUGAAAAAAAAUUUUUUUUGCCAAUAUUCAUUUAGUUCAGGCAAACUACUUGGAGGUCCACUAAGACGUUUGUGAGUUUUUAUGUACCAUUAAUAAUAAUAGUUAAUUUUUGUAUGACCAUUUUUGACCUCUCUUUAUCUUUUAGAAUUAAGCACGCUGUUUUUGUUACUGUGCCUUUGGAACUGAUAGAUGUAAACGACUUCUGUUCUGACUGGCUGCCUUGUAUUGUGUCUCAUGUAUGCUGGACUACAGUUAUCCUUGUAACACUGAACUGUACAGAAGAUCAGGGAUGUCAAACUGAACCACUAAAAGAGCCAUAUUAAAAAUCUCAACAAACCCCUG